rnacentral:misc_RNA from 1 species
AAGUCGUAACAAGGUUUCCGUAGGUGAACCUGCGGAAGGAUCAUUAUCACGUAUCCACGUAUAAACCAUUGUGAACUGUUUUUUUUAACCUUUGUCAGCGGAUGAAUGAAGACUUUUUCUUUUGCGUUUAUUCGCAAGAGGGAGGUUGGAGUUUAUCACAGCUGCAAAGUGUAAUUUAACCUAUAUUAACCAUUUUAACCCAAUCUUUAUAACUUUUAUGAACUAACUUUUAUUUUAUACUCUUCGGAGAUAAAAUUCAUUACGAAACAAAGAACAACUCUUAGCAACGGAUAUCUUGGUUCUC